GGUAUGAAGAACGUAGCAAAAUGCGAUACUUGGUGUGAAUUGCAGAAUCCCGUGAACCAUCGAGUUUUUGAACGCAAGUUGCGCCCGAAGCCUUUUGGCCGAGGGCACGUCUGCCUGGGCGUCACGCAUCGCGUCGCCCCCUCCCACAAUUCUCCGCAAAGGGAACUUGUGUUUUGGGGGCGGAUAUUGGUCUCCCGUGCUCAUGGCGUGGUUGGCCGAAAUAGGAGUCCCUUCGAUGGACGCACGAACUAGUGGUGGUCGUAAAAACCCUCGUCUUUUGUUUCGUGCCGUUAGUCGCGAGGGAAGCUCUUCAAAAACCCCAGCGCGUCGUCUCUUGACGGCGCUUCGACCGCGACCCCAGGUCAGGCGGGACUACCCGCUGAGUUUAAGCAUAUCAAUAAGCGGAGGA
rnacentral:misc_RNA from 1 species